UGGGGAAUAUUGGACAAUGGGCGCAAGCCUGAUCCAGCCAUGCCGCGUGAGUGAUGAAGGCCCUAGGGUUGUAAAGCUCUUUCACCGGUGAAGAUAAUGACGGUAACCGGAGAAGAAGCCCCGGCUAACUUCGUGCCAGCAGCCGCGGUAAUACGAAGGGGGCUAGCGUUGUUCGGAUUUACUGGGCGUAAAGCGCACGUAGGCGGACUAUUAAGUCAGGGGUGAAAUCCCGGGGCUCAACCCCGGAACUGCCUUUGAUACUGGUAGUCUUGAGUUCGAGAGAGGUGAGUGGAAUUCCGAGUGUAGAAGUGAAAUUCGUAGAUAUUCGGAGGAACACCAGUUGCGAAGGCGGCUCACUGGCUCGAUACUGACGCUGAGGUGCGAAAGCGUGGGGAGCAAACAGG
rnacentral:rRNA from 1 species